UACAGAGGGUGCAAGCGUUGCCCGGAAUCAUUGGGCGUAAAGGGCAAGUAGGUGGUCUCAUUUGUCUAGGGUGAAAUCCCCGAGCUUAACUCGGGAAGUGCUUUUGAAACUGUAAAGCUUGAAUGUGGGAGAGGAUCGUGGAAUUCCAGGUGUAGUGGUGAAAUACGUAGAUAUCUGGAGGAACACCGGUGGCGAAGGCGGCGAUCUGGCCCAACAUUGACACUGAGACCCGAAAGCGUGGGGAUCAAACAGG
rnacentral:rRNA from 1 species